rnacentral:rRNA from 1 species
AGCAGCCGCGGUAAUUCCAGCUCCAAUAACGUAUAUUAAAGUUGUUGCAGUUAAAAAGCUCGUAGUUGAAUUUCGGGGUUAGUAGGUUGGUCAUGCCUCUGGUAUGUACUGGUCUCACUGAUUCCUCCUUCCUGAUGAGCCGUAAUGCCAUUAAUUUGGUGUUGCGGGGAAUUUGGACUGUUACUUUGAAAAAAUUAGAGUGUUUAAAGCAAGCUAACGCUUGAAUACAUUAGCAUGGAAUAAUGAAAUAGGACGUUCGAUCCUAUUUUGUUGGUUUCUAGGAUUGACGUAAUGAUUAAUAGGGAUAGUUGGGGGCAUUAGUAUUCAAUUGUCAGAGGUGAAAUUCUUGGAUUUAUUGAAGACUAACUACUGCGAAAGCAUUUGCCAAGGAUGUUUUCAUUAAUCAAGAACGAAAGUUAGGGGAUCGAAGACGAUCAGAUACCGUCGUAGUCUUAACCAUAAACUAUGCCGACUAGGGAUCGGAUGAUGUUAAUUUUUAAUGACUCAUUCGGCGCCUUAA